GAAAUUUCUACCUGGGAGAGGGUAUCAGUAGUAUCCUAAACAAGGUGGAUCCAGGUUGAGGAACUGUUUUGAGGUUACAUUCUGCCCACCAUGCGUCUUCCCUCCCUUAUGCUCCUGGUCUUCGCUAUUCUCUGCCAGGUACUCUCAGUGGAUGGGAAGAAGUCCAGCAUUCCUUCCUGUUAUUUUUAUCGGGGCAUCUGCCGGAAUAAAAAAGAAAUCAAAUGCAUGCCCUUGCCUGGAAGAUGCCCAAGUUCUAAGAAACACUGCUGCAGGAAAGGAUUGUAACCUAUUAUGGCCAACUCUGGAGGAUUUGGGGAUAUUCCUGUCCCAGUUGCCUUCUGCUGAAUAAAACUAGCAAUAUCCUUAUUCCAUUU